GAGAGAGGAGAUUGAGAUUGUACAGAAAACAGGCGUUUAAGUCGCUAAUUCUGCGCGAUAAUGGCACCAACGGAGUCUACCAUGAUCGAAAAUCAAUUUUGGAGAGGCUGGGGAAUCGAGGGGAGAUGUGAUGUCGGUUCAAACGCUCGCAAAUUUCGAAUAGUGACGUUAGCAACUUUCGUCGCCCCCCUCCCCCUUGUCCGGCUGGCAUCGCAGCAAAACAACAAAGCAGCAUGAACAGCCUUUGCCUCCGGAUGUACUGUACGGUAGAUGCAGCAGAGGUUGUAAGGAGGACAGUCUAGAUGAAAGGCACGCAACUGCGUCUGAGUCUUCGAGUACCUGACUGCUGCUACAGGCUCCUUAGGAAAUGACUCCGAAGAAGUACUCCAAACCAACACCAAGACAUCCAACAUGCAAACACAGAACAGACAGCCUUACCCUGGGUGCAUGGCAGCAGUGGAGUUAGAUGUGGAUAGGAUUGUUUAUACAUGAGCAGUUCUACAACAUAUUUCCCAAAAGUUAACAUUGUGGUGUGCCAUGUGCCUCAUGUGGUCAGUACUGAUAGAGACCAUAGGUUACUGUAUUUUGCCUUAUUUUGACAAACAUGUAGAUUUGUUUUUGUGUCUGAUGGUUGUCAGACGAUUAGACACAAGCUAUUAAGGUCUUAUUACUAUAUUAGCCAUACCAGAAUGUGUACUGUAAAAUGUAUUCCAGUUCCAAUCUCCAGUGAUUUAAUAUGAUGACAAUGAUACAUUUUACAUUGUGUCGCAAAAAGUCACUGA